CCCCGCCGCAAGUGGAUAAUAUUAAUAGUGUAAAAAUAUGCAAGUGUUCGGUAAACAGGAAGUUGUCGAGUGAUGAAUCUGAAAACGCAUCACACGGUAUAGCUGACUUAUAAAAAUCCUGAAACCAAAUUUCAGAAAUCCUUGUAUUGUAGUUCCUGAGAAAAAUGUGACGAAAAUUUUUAACUUGGUUAUCAUGUGUAAAAUCAUGCAAGUGUUCGGUAAACAGGAAGUUGUCGAGUGAUGAAUCUGAAAACGCAUCACACGGUAUAGCUGACUUAUAUAAAUCCUGAAACCAAAUUCAGAAAUCCUUGUAUUGUAGUUCCUGAGAAAAAUGUGACGAAAAUUUUCAACUUGGUUAUCAUGUGUAAAAUCAUACAAGUGUUCGGUAAACAGGAAGUUGUCGAGUGAUGAAUCUGAAAACGCAUCACACGGUUAUGCUGACUUAUAUAAAUCCUGAAACCAAAUUUCAGAAAUCCUUGUAUUGUAGUUCCUGAGAAAAAUGUGACGAAAAUUUUCAACUUGGCUAUCAUGUGUAAAAUCAGACAAGUGUUCGGUAAACAGGAAGUUGUCAAGUGAUGAAUCUGAAAACGCAUCACACGGUAUGGCUGACAUAUAUAAAUGUUGAUACCAAAUUACAGAAAGGGUGGAUGUGUAGUUCCUGAGAAAAAUGUGACGAAAGUUUCAUGGGACGGACUGACUGACGGACGGACUGAUGGACGGACGGACGGACUGACAGACAGAGUUAAAACAGUAUACCCCCCCUUUUUUAAAGCGGGGGUAUAAUGAA
rnacentral:lncRNA from 1 species